GGAACAUUCACUAAAAUACAUAUAGAAACCUACUCCAAUAAUAGCCAUUAUAUUUAUCCCAAGGUAAAGAAAAAAAUGUAACACAUAAAUAGACGACUUACCUUGGCCUCAAUGGACAAUUAUACACUUCAACUUUGAGAAUACACAUCUAGACACCUCAACUCGUCCCCACUGUGUCGUUGUGAACAACCGACGUUGAUGUGACUCAUAAAUUUUGGAGGUGUCUAGAUGAUCAUUUUUGUAAGUUGGACAGGUCAACUGACAUGGUUAGACGAGUUGAGGUGCCUAGAUGUGCAUCCUCAAAGUUGGAGUGUUUAGUUACCAGUUGAGGCCAAGUUAAACUGUGUUGCGUUCAGUCUAUACUGCAAAUUGAUAGAUGGAACAGCAGAUUAUGAGGCCAAUUGUGUUGAAGUAUUGGUUUUGAACUUUUUUUGAGCUUUCAAGUCCACCACAA
rnacentral:misc_RNA from 1 species